AAUGGGGGCAACCCUGAUCCAGCCAUGCCGCGUGAGUGAAGAAGGCCUUCGGGUUGUAAAGCUCUUUCGGCCGGGAAGAAAUCGUGCAGGCUAAUACCCUGUAUGGAUGACGGUACCGGAAUAAGAAGCACCGGCUAACUACGUGCCAGCAGCCGCGGUAAUACGUAGGGUGCGAGCGUUAAUCGGAAUUACUGGGCGUAAAGCGUGCGCAGGCGGUUUUGUAAGACAGGCGUGAAAUCCCCGGGCUCAACCUGGGAACUGCGCUUGUGACUGCAAGACUAGAGUACGGCAGAGGGGGGUGGAAUUCCACGUGUAGCAGUGAAAUGCGUAGAGAUGUGGAGGAACACCAAUGGCGAAGGCAGCCCCCUGGGUCGAUACUGACGCUCAUGCACGAAAGCGUGGGGAGCAAA
rnacentral:rRNA from 1 species